rnacentral:tRNA from 1 species
CAAAACGUAGCUUAACCAAAGCAUUUCGCUUACACCGAAAAAAUGCCCGUUCAACCCGGGCCGUCUUGA